UACGUAGGGUGCGAGCGUUGUCCGGAAUUAUUGGGCGUAAAGGGCUCGUAGGCGGUCUGUCACGUCGGGAGUGAAAACACGGGGCUUAACCCCGUGCCUGCUUCCGAUACGGGCAGACUAGAGGUAUGCAGGGGAGAACGGAAUUCCUGGUGUAGCGGUGAAAUGCGCAGAUAUCAGGAGGAACACCGGUGGCGAAGGCGGAUCUCUGGGCCAUUACUGACGCUGAGGAGCGAAAGCGUGGGGAGCGAACAGG
rnacentral:rRNA from 1 species